UACGAAGGGGGCUAGCGUUGCUCGGAAUCACUGGGCGUAAAGCGCACGUAGGCGGACUCUUAAGUCGGUGGUGAAAUCCUGGAGCUCAACUCCAGAACUGCCUCCGAUACUGGGAGCCUUCGAGUCCGGGAGAGGUGAGUGGAACUGCGAGUGUAGAGGUGAAAUUCGUAGAUAUCAGGAGGAACACCGGUGGCGAAGGCGGGUCUCUGGGCCGAUACUGACGCUGAGGAGCGAAAGCGUGGGAGCAAACAGG
rnacentral:rRNA from 1 species